GACGAACGCUGGCGGCGUGCUUAACACAUGCAAGUCGAACGGAAAGGCCCUGCUUUUGUGGGGUGCUCGAGUGGCGAACGGGUGAGUAACACGUGAGUAACCUGCCCUUGACUUUGGGAUAACUUCAGGAAACUGGGGCUAAUACCGGAUAGGAGCUCCUGCUGCAUGGUGGGGGUUGGAAAGUUUCGGCGGUUGGGGAUGGACUCGCGGCUUAUCAGCUUGUUGGUGGGGUAGUGGCUUACCAAGGCUUUGACGGGUAGCCGGCCUGAGAGGGUGACCGGCCACAUUGGGACUGAGAUACGGCCCAGACUCCUACGGGAGGCAGCAGUGGGGAAUAUUGCACAAUGGGCGGAAGCCUGAUGCAGCAACGCCGCGUGCGGGGUGACGGCCUUCGGGUUGUAAACCGCUUUCGCCUGUGACGAAGCGUGAGUGACGGUAAUGGUAAAGAAGCACCGGCUAACUACGUG
rnacentral:rRNA from 1 species